rnacentral:rRNA from 1 species
UACGUAGGGUUCAAGCGUUAAUCGGAAUUACUGGGCGUAAAGCGUGCGCAGGCGGUUUUGUAAGUCUGACGUGAAAUCCCCAGGCUCAACCUGGGAAUUGCGAUGGAGACUGCAAGGCUUGAAUCUGGCAGAGGGGGGUAGAAUUCCACGUGUAGCAGUGAAAUGCGUAGAGAUGUGGAGGAACACCGAUGGCGAAGGCAGCCCCCUGGGUCAAGAUUGACGCUCAUGCACGAAAGCGUGGGGAGCAAACAGG